rnacentral:rRNA from 1 species
UGGGGAAUCUUGCGCAAUGGGGGAAACCCUGACGCAGCAACGCCGCGUGGGUGAUGAAGGCCUUCGGGUCGUAAAGCCCUGUCAGGUGGGAAGAAACUUGUGGAUGUUAAUACCAUCCACACUUGACGGUACCUUCGGAGGAAGCACCGGCUAACUCCGUGCCAGCAGCCGCGGUAAUACGGAGGGUGCAAGCGUUGUUCGGAAUUAUUGGGCGUAAAGCGCGUGUAGGUGGUCAGGUAAGUCAGAUGUGAAAGCCUUCUGCUUAACAGAAGAAGUGCAUUUGAAACUGCUUGGCUAGAGUACGGGAGAGGAGAGUGGAAUUCCCGGUGUAGAGGUGAGAUUCGUAGAUAUCGGGAGGAACACCAGUGGCGAAGGCGGCUCUCUGGUCCGAUACUGACGCUGAGACGCGAAAGCGUGGGGAGCAAACAGGAUUAGAUACCCUGGUAGUCCACGCCGUAAACGAUGGGCACUAGGUGUAGGAGGUAUUGACCCCUUCUGUGCCGAAGUUAACGCAUUAAGUGCCCCGCCUGGGGAGUACGGCCGCAAGGUUA